rnacentral:lncRNA from 1 species
GUAAAUUACACCCAAGUUCAUACGCCGUAUCGAGAAAGGAAUUUACUGUCCGUUUAAAAAUAGCAUUAUGUAGAAAUGUCCUUUUGGUUUUAUUUGCUUUUAAAUAUAAUUCGGACAAGAAGGACAAAAUGAGGACAACUCAAUAACGAGUCUUUAUUUAAUAAUAACGAAAUCUGAUUGUCUUCUUGAACGUUUCAAGCCAAAAGACGUAAGAAACGUUGCUUUUGAUUGGACGAUUAGAUGUUUACUCUAACGUCAUAGUAAGUGCCAAAAGACAUAAAUAGGAGCCUGUAGAACAACAUGUCAUUCUGAAUCAAUCUCUUGAACCGUCAACUACCUUUUAUAUUGACCACCCGAUUUAUUGCUUUAUCUGUUGAAUGAUGAAUGUGUAUUUGAUGUUUAUUAUAUUGAAAGAAGAAGUCAAAAUACUGUUGAAAUAAAUAUCAUUGUUAUGUUUAUUACAAAUCUGUUUCUUCAC